rnacentral:rRNA from 1 species
UACGGGGGGGGGCAAGCGUUGUCCGGAAUUACUGGGCGUAAAGGGCUCGUAGGCGGCCAACUAAGUCAGACGUGAAAUCCCUCGGCUUAACCGGGGAACUGCGUCUGAUACUGGUUGGCUUGAAUCCGGGAGAGGGAUGUGGAAUUCCAGGUGUAGCGGUGAAAUGCGUAGAUAUCUGGAGGAACACCGGUGGCGAAGGCGGCAUCCUGGACCGGUAUUGACGCUGAGGAGCGAAAGCCAGGGGAGCAAACGGG